UAGAGUUUGAUCAUGGCUCAGGACGAACGCUAGCGGGGGGCUUAACACAUGCAAGUCGAACGCGAAAGUAGUUCUUCGGAACUGCGAGUAGAGUGGCGAACGGGUGAGUAACACGUAGGCAACCUGCCCUUUGGUGGGGGAUAACAUUCCGAAAGGAGUGCUAAUACCGCAUCAUCUGUCCGGAUCGCAUGGUCCGGUCGGCAAAGGCUUCGGCCGCCGAAGGAUGGGCCUGCGCCCUGUUAGCUUGUUGGUGAGGUAACGGCUCACCAAGGCGACGAUGGGUAGCCGGUCUGAGAGGAUGAUCGGCCACACUGGGACUGAGAUACGGCCCAGACUCCUACGGGAGGCAGCAGUGAGGAAUAUUGCACAAUGGGCGAAAGCCUGAUGCAGCCACCCCGCGUGUGGGAUGAAGCUCUUGCGAGCGUAAACCACCGUUAGGAGAGGCGAAUAAGCGGUUUUGCCGCGAAUGACGGUAUCUCCAGCGAAAGCACCGGCUAACUCCGUGCCAGCAGCCGCGGUAAUACGGGGGGUGCAAGCGUUGUCCGGAAUCACUGGGCGUAAAGGGCGCGCAGGCGGAAUCGUCAGUCUGAGGUGAAAUGUCGGGGCUUAACCUCGAAUCUGCCUUGGAUACUGCGAUUCUUGAGUUCGGUAGAGGGAAGUGGAAUUCCAGGUGUAGCGGUGGAAUGCGUAGAUAUCUGGAAGAACACCGGUGGCGAAGGCGGCUUCCUGGCCCGAAACUGACGCUGAGGCGCGAAAGCGUGGGUAGCAAACAGGAUUAGAUACCCUGGUAGUCCACGCCCUAAACGAUGAUCACUAGAUGCUGGGAGAUUCGACCCUCUCAGCGUCGUAGCUAACGCGUUAAGUGAUCCGCCUGGGGAGUACGGCCGCAAGGUUGAAACUCAAAGGAGUUGACGGGGGGCCCGCACAAG
rnacentral:rRNA from 1 species